rnacentral:ncRNA from 17 species
UGAAUAAGAGGACGGAACGGGUAGCCGUCGCCGGAUAAGGUGCAAGACCUUUGAGUAGGAGAUGUGGGAGUGUCGCCCCACCUUAGUUU